CACGGAGGUUGCGAGCGUUGUCCGGAAUUACUAGGCGUAAAGGGCAGGCAGGCGGAUCCAUAAGUUUAUCGUUUAAGGCGUCGGCUUAACCGGCGUAGGGCGGUAGAUACUGUGGAUCUGGAAUGCGGUUGGGGAAGACAGAAUUCCUGGUGUAGCGGUGGAGUGAGCAGAGAUCAGGAGGAAUACCGAAGGCGAAGGCAGUCUUCCAAGCCGUUAUUGACGCUCAACUGCGAAGGUGUGGGUAUCAAACAGGAUUAGAUACCCUGGUAGUCCCU
rnacentral:rRNA from 1 species